GAUGAAGAACGUAGCGAAAUGCGAUAAGUAAUGCGAAUUGCAGAAUUCCGUGAGUCAUCGAAUCUUUGAACGCACAUUGCGACCUCUGGUAUUCCGGAGGGCAUGCCUGUCUGAGCGUCAUUGUCAACCCUCAAGCUCAGCUUGCUGUUGGGUCCCCGUCGUUGCUUUAACGGCGGACCCGAAAGGUAAUGGCAGAGUCCGUGAGACCCUAGACGCAGCGAGCUUCUAGCACGCGUCUGGACGUUUUUCGGGCUCGGUCUUAACUAGAUGAUAACUUCCGAUUGACCUCAGAUCAGGUAGGGAUACCCGCUGAACUUAAGCAUAUCAAUAAGCGGGGA
rnacentral:misc_RNA from 1 species